rnacentral:piRNA from 1 species
CAAAUUAGAGUCUGGGAAUGUAC